rnacentral:tRNA from 1 species
GCACCCAUAGUUCAACUGGAUAGAAUAUCAGAUUUCGGCUCUGAGGGUUGAGGGUUCGAAUCCUUCUGGGUGCA